GAGCACAAACUUGAUCACUAACUCUGCAUGAUAUUGCAAGAGUGAGGGGACCCAGGUGUGCUAAAGGAAGGGCAAUGAGAGAAACGGAUUCACUUCAGCCUGUACUGAGAUUGUUUAUUUUAACCUAGAACAGGG
rnacentral:snoRNA from 1 species